AUAAAAGAAGAAAAAGAAUUGUGAAUGUUCUCAUCCGUGAUGUUUCUUUAUUUUCUUUUUAUUUUUUUUAUUUUUUUCAUUAGCUUUUGCAGCUUCUUGUAA
rnacentral:ribozyme from 13 species